GCAUAACGCGAAGAACCUUACCCGGGCUUGAAAUGCGGCGGACCGGCAGAGAGAUCUGCCUUCCCUUCGGGGCCGCCGUGUAGGUGCUGCAUGGUUGUCGUCAGCUCGUGCCGUGAGGUGUCGGCUUAAGUGCCAUAACGAGCGCAACCCUCAUCAUUAGUUACUAACAGGUCAUGCUGAGGACUCUAGUGAGACUGCCAUCGUAAGAUGCGAGGAAGGUGGGGAUGACGUCAAAUCAGCACGGCCCUUACGUCCGGGGCGACACACGUGUUACAAUGGGUGGUACAAAGGGCAGCUACCUGGCGACAGGAUGCUAAUCUCCAAAACCACUCUCAGUUCGGAUCGGAGUCUGCAACUCGACUCCGUGAAGCUGGAUUCGCUAGUAAUCGCGCAUCAGCCACGGCGCGGUGAAUACGUUCCCGGGUCUUGUACACACCG
rnacentral:rRNA from 1 species